rnacentral:piRNA from 1 species
UCAUGUAUUUCCUUUCAUGUGUGAUGC